rnacentral:rRNA from 1 species
AUGGUUUGCGGGAAAACUCUUCUCUCUCUGGUCUCACUUCGAGUCUUUCUAGAAGUAAAUAAAGGAAAUGCUGAUUCAACUAUGGUAUUGUCGGACAAUCGUCCGGAUUCAAGCCCUAGCCCCUGCACCGCUGCCUCGUGGCGGGCUCUGCGCUGA